rnacentral:rRNA from 1 species
ACUCCUACGGGAGGCAGCAGUGGGGAAUUUUGGACAAUGGGGGCAACCCUGAUCCAGCCAUUCCGCGUGAGUGAAGAAGGCCUUCGGGUUGUAAAGCUCUUUCAGGAGGGAAGAAACGGUUUUGGCUAAUACCUGAGACUAAUGACGGUACCUUCAGAAGAAGCACCGGCUAACUACGUGCCAGCAGCCGCGGUAAUACGCAGGGUGCGAGCGUUAAUCGGAAUUACUGGGCGUAAAGGGUGCGCAGGCGGUUUUGUAAGUCAGAUGUGAAAGCCCCGGGCUUAACCUGGGAAUUGCGUUUGAAACUACAAGACUAGAGUGUGUCAGAGGGGGGUAGAAUUCCACGUGUAGCAGUGAAAUGCGUAGAGAUGUGGAGGAAUACCGAUGGCGAAGGCAGCCCCCUGGGAUAACACUGACGCUCAGGCACGAAAGCGUGGGGAGCAAACAGGAUUAGAUACCCUGGUAGUCCACGCCCUAAACGAUGUCAACUAGUUGUCGGGAGCUUUAUGCUAUUGGUAACGCAGCUAACGCGUGAAGUUGACCGCCUGGGGAGUACGGUCGCAAGAUUAAAACUCAAAUGAAUUGACGG